CCUACGGGUGGCAGCAGUGGGGAAUAUUGGGCAAUGGGCGCAAGCCUGACCCAGCAACGCCGCGUGAAGGAAGACGGCCUUCGGGUUGUAAACUUCUUUUCUCAGGGACGGAGCAAGUGCCGGUACCUGCGGAAUAAGCCUCGGCUAACUACGUGCCUGCAGUCGCGGCAAUACGUAGGUGGCAAGCGUUAUCCGGAUUUACUGGGUGUAAAGGGUGUUUAGGCGGGGACGCAAAUCAGAUGUGAAAACCACGGGCUCAAACUGUGGCCUGCAUUUGACACUGUGUGACUUGAGUACUGGAGAGGCAGACGGAAUUCGUAGUGUAGCGGUGAAAUGCUUAGAUAUUA
rnacentral:rRNA from 1 species